rnacentral:rRNA from 1 species
CGGGGUGCAGCAGGCGCGAAAACUCUACAAUGCAGGCAACUGCGAUAGGGGGACAUCGAGUGGCAUCCACCUUGGGUGCCUGUCCAACCGUCUAAAAAACGGUUGUUAGCAAGGGCCGGGUAAGACCGGUGCCAACCGCCGCGGUAAUACCGGCGGCUCGAGUGGUGGCCGAUAUUAUUGAGUCUAAAGGGUCCGUAGCCGGCUUUGCAAGUCCCCUGGGAAAUCCAGCGGCUUAACCGUUGGGCUUUCAUGGGAUACUACAUUGCUUGGGACUGGGAGAGGUAGGAGGUACUCGGGGGGUAGGGGUGAAAUCCUGUAAUCCUCCGGGGACCACCGGUGGCGAAGGCGUCCUACCAGAACAGGUCCGACGGUGAGGGACGAAAGCUAGGGGCACGAACCGGAUUAGAUACCCGGGUAGUCCUAGCCGUAAACGAUGCCCGCUAGGUGUCACGACGGUCGUGAAUCGUCGUGGUGCCGUAGGGAAGCCGCGAAGCGGGCCACUUGGGAAGUACGGCCGCAAGGCUGAAACUUAAAGGAAUUGGCGGGGGAGCACAAGGGCGAAUNG